GACGAACGCUGGCGGCGUGCUUAACACAUGCAAGUCGAACGGAAAGGCCCUGCUUUUGUGGGGUGCUCGAGUGGCGAACGGGUGAGUAACACGUGAGUAACCUGCCCUUGACUUUGGGAUAACUUCAGGAAACUGGGGCUAAUACCGGAUAGGAGCUCCUGCUGCAUGGUGGGGGUUGGAAAGUUUCGGCGGGUGGGGCUGGACUCGCGGCUUAUCAGCUUGUUGGUGGGGUAGUGGCGUACCAAGGCUUUGACGGGUAGCCGGCCUGAGAGGGUGACCGGCCACAUUGGGACUGAGAUACGGCCCAGACUCCUACGGGAGGCAGCAGUGGGGAAUAUUGCACAAUGGGCGGAAGCCUGAUGCAGCAACGCCGCGUGCGGGAUGACGGCCUUCGGGUUGUAAACCGCUUUCGCCUGUGACGAAGCGUGAGUGACGGUAAUGGGUAAAGAAGCACCGGCUAACUACGUG
rnacentral:rRNA from 1 species